UAGAGGAGGUAGAGGAGUCCCUGGGAGAGGCAAUGUGGGCGGCGGGGGCGGCGGCUCGCGGGGGCGGCAGCCUGUCAGACUCUCAGUGCCUCUAACACCGUUGUCCUGGCGGCUGGCCGUGCACGAGCCUUCCUGCUGCCUGCGAGACGCCCACUGCCACACGCAGACUGCACGUCCCUGCCUCAUCACAUUAAAGGACACAGCUAUUCUUCCUAGCGGUGUGAACGUUCUCUAAAUCCAAAAACUCCCCUUUGCUCAGAAAACUACAUCGAUGCUCCAAAAUUACUGGAAUACGACUUGCCCUGUCAAUGCCGCCAGCCUUCCUUCUCCAGCAGGACCCUCCUCAUCCGACACUCGACCUCGUCCAAUGACUCUGAAAAAUUUGAUAUGUAAUGCACUGUUUCAAGCGAGGCAGAGAACUUUUCAAUGACCAUCUACGUAUUCGAUUCGGAGACAGAAAAAAAGUGUUGAAAACAUUAUGUAGUGGGUACAUAUUGAUAACUGAGAAAAGAAAUAACAAUAAACAUUUAAGUACUGUUCAUUAACUGUGCGUGCGUUGUGCGUGACAAGCUAUACACUCAAUAUCGUGUAACAUUGCAUUCACGUGGAAAAAGAAAACAAAAUAAUGGGAGAACACUGACGAAAGCCAAUUAAAGGUAUGCUGGUCUUGAAAUCCCACAAAAUAACAGUCAUUGUAAAAACAGGGAGCACAGUGCAGUUAUCCAACACCAUUUGGGAGAAACCUUCCGGAGUAGCUUGAAAUGCCAAGGAAUCUGGGUGCUGCAAUGACGACUCACGAGACCACUGAUGCUUGGCAGUGAUGGAGUUUGAACACGACUCGAUGACACACGAGUAAGCAAGCAUUCCGGGCACAUUUGUAAUGUUUCCAGCACUCUGGUACUCUGGGGAUAAUUUGUGAUGACACGGGAGCUUCGGUAAUGAGUGGUGACUGAAGGAAGGCUUGAGUAGCGUGUGCGGAGUGAUCAUCACCUUGGCAUGGUGGAGCUUGGUGGUGGAGGUCCGGACGGGCCAAUACAGCACACCUUCUCCAAUGGCAUCUUCUUCGUGGCAGCGGCUGUCCUCAUCCCUCUCAUUGGUACGUUUUCUGUGAAGCUUGUCAGGACCUUCUGGAGCCGCGAGCGUCGCCGACUGGAGAAGCGGAAACAGAAGCUAGAGCGACACAAAAAAAGAUGAAAUUGUUGGAGAGAUGCAGCCACCCAGUCACCUAUUCAUCUGCCAACUCAGUUCUUCUACAGCGUGUAUUCUGAUGUCUGCCUACGUGUCUUAUACUAAAACCUCUUUCCCCAAGUAUUUUGACAUUGUAUCUCUACUACUCUCAAUAGGUUUUAGUGGAAGUUAUUUGGGUUUUCAAGGAUGUUUUUUAUAAUUGUAGUGAUUCUGCAUCAUCAGUAAAAAAAAAUAAUAAUAAUAGUAAUAAUAAACCUGAGAAGUUGACUAGCAGUCUAGCACCUUUGAAAAUAAUUCUACUGAGAGACCACAAUAUAUUGACAGGAUAAAUUACGUAUUGUGUUGCUACUCUCCUCCUUACCACACUGACUAAGGUUGUUACUCCUAUGUUUGAAUACUUUCAUGUCUAUAAGGAAGGAUAAAAUUUGGCAUGAAGUGGCAUGAAACUGCCAAACACCAUCAUCAUUAACUUUCAGGUAAACAUACCCUUGGCAGCCAUCACAACUCAUAAGAGUGAACCAGCACCUGAUAAGUUAUCAAGUCUCAGAAGUGUGGAGGCAAUUGCCCAUUGUAACAUUGUAAAGAUGGUCCUCAGCACAUGAUGCAUAAAAUAUUUAUAUCAAAACCUUUUUUUCCCAAUCUACGAAACUGUUUGUGUUUUGUUCUUUGCUUCUAAUUUUUGCUUCCUUGUUCUUCUAGUAAACUUCCUUUCUCUUCUCUCCUAAACUGUUUCCCUUCACACCUUUAUCUUUUCUCAUUUCCAGGUAUAUACCAUAAUUUUCUUUGAUGUCAUGGUUCCUGAUGUCACUUAGAGAACACAAGCAGCAUCUGUGGCAUGCCAUCCCUGGUCUACAAACUGUCUCCUAUACUAUGAGUGACUGGCUGGUUAAUUUACAAGAGCUUGUUGACAAAAUAGCUUGUGUAUGUAUAUUGGCAAGUUUCACACUGCCCAGCGUUGUUGUAUGAUGUCAAGAUUUCCUCAAAGAAGCACAUGUUGGUAAACACUUCAUAACUCAUCUCUACACUAUCUCUCAUAUAACCAAGACAGCAUGUAAUUGGAGGUCAUUUAGUACACCUCAUGGGUUUACAUGUACCUAUUUGAGAACAUUUGCUUGACUAAUUGAAAAUUUUCUAAAUGUGCAGUCUUCCUUUUUUUAAGAAAGACUUUUUUUCUUCUUUUUCUGAUGGAGAUACAUUUGAGAACCUGAUAAGUUCAUGCAAUUCUUAUUUCAUUAUUAUUAUUUUUUAGAAAACUUAUGAAAGCAAAAUGGAUAACAGGUUUUCAAGAAAAUUAAACCAUCUCAAAUAGAAAAGAAAAAAAAAAAAAUUGUGGAAAUGUACUGGCACACACAGACAAAUAAGCACUCUUAAGUGUACUUGUGGUAAUGUUUGUAUUCUACCUUCACUAAGUACUCCAAGGAAGAUAGCAUCCUUGAGGUACACACUUAUCUUAUUAUGAAGCUGUCUUGACUUGUUCGUCUCAGUUCUUAAAUGUUACAAAACAUUCUGAUAUGCAUGUAGUUUGGUAUUCCAAGGAGGGAGGAAGGGGCUGAAGCCACCUGUUACCUCACACACAACAAGCAGCUUGUCAUUUGUACUCAUGCACCAAGAAGUUUGGCAAUGCAUGGAAUUUAACUCUGGAUUUCAAAUAGCAAGCCAACUAUGUAUCAUUAAGAUUGUUAUAGUUGCUUAUAGCAGGCGGAGGUUGAACAAAAACGAUAUAAUGUUGAUAUGGUUAAGUGUGUGAGACCUGCCUAAGAAAGUCGUUGUUAACCAAAAUCUAUGUAGAUAGGUAGUGUACUACAAAAAUAAAUAUAAAAUGUGGAGCUUUCAUUUAAAUGAUAUGUGCCUGAAAGGGUUCAAUCUUAACAAUGAAUAUCUUCUACAAACAUUUUUCCUUACUUUAAGCCACAUGUAGACUUUUGUGUUGCAAUAAACAUAUAACAAAGGGCAAA